rnacentral:rRNA from 1 species
CACGUAGGGCGCAAGCGUUGUCCGGAAUUAUUGGGCGUAAAGAGCUCGUAGGUGGUCUGUUGCGUCCGCUGUGAAAACUCGGGGCUUAACCCCGAGCCUGCAGUGGAUACGGGCAGACUAGAGGUAGGUAGGGGAGAAUGGAAUUCCUGGUGUAGCGGUGAAAUGCGCAGAUAUCAGGAGGAACACCUGUGGUGUAGACAGCUUACUGGACCAUUUCUGACGCUGAGACACGAAAGCGUGGGUAGCAAACAGG